rnacentral:lncRNA from 10 species
CACGCACUGCCUUGGUGACCAAGGAAGGCACCCCACGGCUAUGGGGAAAUUAGCCUGAGACUUAGCUUUCAUUAUCACUGUCUCCCAGGGUGUGCUUGUCGAAGAGAUAUUCUGCCGAGCCAGAUUCGGGCGCUCCCAUCUUGCGCAAGUUGGUCACGUGGUCACUCAAUUCUUUGAUGGCUUUCACCUGCUCAUUCAGGGCACUAAUAUACACAUGAUGAUACUUAAUUCUCUCAGAAAACCUUUGGCAAAGACACUUUCUACAUCUUGAAGGCAAGGAAUCUGAAUCUUGAAGAGAUUAAAUGAAUUGUCCAAAGUCACGUGGGGGUUUGGGAGAAGGAAAAUCAUGAACACACAUUCUUCUACUCUGGAGAAGUGGGGAAGGUGACCUGGGAAACCAUCUGAAAGGGAGCAGGAUGGAUUCUAUAAAAUAUAGAGUGUUCAAUGAAAACAACCUGAUGCUCCUCCCAGUACCAUCACAUUUUUCUAGCUGCAUAUCCUUAGGUAAGUCAAUGUCUGAAUUUCAGUUUCCUCACUGUUAAAUGGGAUAAUAAGCUUUACCUUACAGGAUUAUCAUGAGGCUGAAGCCAGGAAAUGACCCAACAUUGAGGGUAAUCUGGGCACUGAAGGCACUACAAUUCCCAGGAUUUUUCAAGAAAAUGUCGAAUGUGCUGCCACAUAUGUCGGAUGCACAUGGAUCCCCUCCCACAAGGAAAAUCACGAUUGAAGAUCACCUCCUUGAAGAUGUCGUAUUGGGAGCGGUGUUUUUCCCUGUUGCUGACAGGUUAGACUUGCACAGGCGUCAGUACUGAGGUGUGAGACGGAGCCCAUGUAUGGCUUCUAUCUCUGCACUGUGGCUGCUCCGUUCAUGUGUCAGUCACAUCAGCUCAGAGACUGCCUAAUGUCAACUGGCCUAGUCAUUUUGUCU